rfam:Streptomyces luteus strain TRM 45540 genomic scaffold Scaffold2, whole genome shotgun sequence.
CGGGCGGUGUACUCCCAGAUGGCGUCCCCGUCCAGCAGCGCCUCGUCGCCGAAGUAGGCGCCGUCGGCGAGGACGCCGAGCACCGCGUCGUCGCCGUAGGGGCCGGUGCCGACCUUCUCCACCUUGCCGUGGGCCAGCAGGUACACCUCGUCGGCCCGGGCGCCGAACGAGGCGAUCACCUCGCCGGGGCCGAACUCCCGCUGCGCACAGCGCUGCGCGAGUUCCGAGAGCACCUCCUCGUCCUCGUACGACCGCAGGGCCGGCAGUUCGCCCAGCUCCGCGGGGAUGACCUCGACGCGGUCGCCGGUCUUCACGAACGUGACCCGGCCGUCGCCGACGGCGAAGGUCAUGCGCCGGUUCACCCGGUACGUGCCGCCCUGGAUGUCGACCCACGGAAGCGUGCGCAGCAGCCAGCGGGAGCUGAUCUCCUGCAUCUGAGGAACGGACUUGGUCGUGGUGGCCAGGUUCCGCGCGGCCGCCGUGCCGAGGCUCUGCUGCGGCCUGG